CGGUUGAUCCUGCCGGACCUGACUGCUAUCGGAUUGGUACUAAGCCAUGUGAGUCGUUGUAGUAAUACAAGGCAUACGGCUCAGUAACACGUAGUCAAUCUAACCUAUGGACGGGGAUAACCUCGGGAAACUGAGGAUAAAACCCGAUAGAUCAUAAUGCCUGGAACGGUUUAUGGUUCAAAUGAUUCGUCGCCGUAGGGUGGGACUGCGGCCUAUCAGCUUGUUGGUGAGGUAAUGGCCCACCAAGGCUAUUACAGGUACGGGCUCUGAGAGGAGAAGCCCGGAGAUGGGUACUGAGACACGGACCCAGGCCCUAUGGGGCGCAGCAGGCGAGAAACCUUUGCAAUGUGCGCAAGCACGACAAGGUUAAUCCGAGUGUUUCCUGCUAAAGGAAUCUUUUGUUAGUUGUAAAACCACUGAUGAAUAAGGGGUGGGCAAGUUCUGGUGUCAGCCGCCGCGGUAAAACCAGCACCUCAAGUGGUCAGGAUGAUUAUUGGGCCUAAAGCAUCCGUAGCCUGUUCUAUAAGUUUCCGGUUAAAUCCAUUAGCUCAACUAAUGGGCUGCCGAAAAUACUGUAGAACUAGGGAGUGGGAGAGGUAGACGGUACUCGGUAGGAAGGGGUAAAAUCCUUUGAUCUAUUGAUGAC
rnacentral:rRNA from 1 species